UACGGGGGGGGCAAGCGUUGUUCGGAAUUACUGGGCGUAAAGGGCGCGUAGGCGGCUCACUAAGUCGGAUGUGAAAACUCUGGGCUCAACCCAGAGCCUGCAUCCGAAACUAUUGGGCUAGAGUUCUGGAGGGGAAAGCGGAAUUCCUGGUGUAGCGGUGAAAUGCGCAGAUAUCAGGAAGAACACCCAUGGCGAAAGCAGCUCUCUGGGACGGUACUGACGCUGAGACGCGAAAGCGUGGGGAGCGAACAGG
rnacentral:rRNA from 1 species